CCUACGGGAGGCAGCAGUGGGGGAUAUUGCACAAUGGGGGGAACCCUGAUGCAGCGACGCCGCGUGGGUGAAGAAGCGCCUCGGCGCGUAAAGCCCUGUCAGCAGGGAAGAAAAUGACGGUACCUGAAGAAGAAGCCACGGCUAACUACGUGCCAGCAGCCGCGGUAAUAAGUAGGGGGCAAGCGUUAUACGGAUUUACUGGGUGGAAAGGGGGCGCGGACGGCGCUGCAAGCCAGGAGUGAAAGCCCGGGGCCCAACCCCGGGACGGCUCUUGGAACUGCGUGGCUGGAGUGCAGGAGGGGCAGGCGGAAUUCCUGGUGUAGCGGUGAAAUGCGUAGAUAUCAGGAGGAACACCGGUGGCGAAGGCGGCCUGCUGGACUGCAACUGACGUUGAGGCCCGAAAGCGUGGGGAGCAAACAGGAUUAGAUACCCCAGUAGUC
rnacentral:rRNA from 1 species